rnacentral:rRNA from 1 species
GUCUAUGACUGUAUCACCCUGAAUGCACACAAUCUCAUCUGAUCUCAGAAGCUAAGCAGGGUCAGACCUGGUUAGCACUUGGAUGGGAGAACAGUUUUCUGGUUUUGUCUUCC